GACAGAGGUGCCGAGCGUUAGGCGGAAUCACUGGGCUUAAAGCGUGUGUAGGCGGAUCGUUAAGUACCUUGUGAAAUCCCCCGGCUCAACCGGGGAACUGCUGGGUAUACUGGCGAUCUUGAGCAAUCUAGGGGCAGAGGGAAUUUCCGGUGGAGCGGUGAAAUGCGUAGAGAUCGGAAAGAACACCAACGGCGAAAGCACUCUGCUGGGCCGACACUGACACUGAGAGACGAAAGCUAGGGGAGCGAAUGGG
rnacentral:rRNA from 1 species